GGAUGCCGCAUCAUACCACAUAAUGCACCGGAUCCCUCAGAACUCCGAAGUUAAGCGUGCUUGGGAGAGUCUUAGGAUGGCGGACCCUGGGAAGUCCUCGUGUUGCAUCCC
rnacentral:rRNA from 1 species